rnacentral:rRNA from 1 species
ACGACCACACCACUUUUGAAACACCGGUUCUCGUCUGACCACCAGAUUUAAGCAACGCCGGGCCCGAUUAGUGCUUGUAUGGAUGACCGGUUGGGGAACACUGGGUGUUUUGACC